UUUCUUCUUCCUUUUCCACUUAGAUCUGUAAACAAAAUUACUUCAACAAACUCAGUAAUCAAAACUCCUCAUGGUACGGUGAAGGUACAAUUUGUGGAAAAGAAUAUGGGCUAUGUUAUUUGUGAUUCAAUUGAAAAAGGUUCUUUUUCAACCCAGCUGAACAAAUUUGUUGUUCUUUUUCCAAAAACAUUACUGCAGAACAGAGAAUUAUUGUUAUUGUUACUACCUCGUUCUAAUUGAUGAUAGACACUUGACAUGUGAUUAUGAAUUCUAGUUCUAGAAUUUUCUGCUGGUUCAACAGAAUAUCUACGGUUUCUUUGAUGACACCAAGGAUGAUAGAUUAAAAUUAAGACUAUGGUUGAAACACAUCCAAUUGUGGUUUCUUUGUAUUUUUAUUUUGUAUACAUAAAGUUUUUGUUGUGG
rnacentral:lncRNA from 1 species